UACGUAGGGUGCGAGCGUUGUCCGGAAUUAUUGGGCGUAAAGGGUGCGUAGGCGGCGCGGUAAGUCGGGUGUGAAAUCUUGGAGCUUAACUCCGAAACUGCAUUCGAUACUGCCGUGCUUGAGGACUGGAGAGGAGACUGGAAUUUACGGUGUAGCGGUGAAAUGCGUAGAUAUCGUAAGGAAGACCAGUGGCGAAGGCGGGUCUCUGGACAGUUCCUGACGCUGAGGCACGAAGGUCAGGGGAGCAAACGGG
rnacentral:rRNA from 1 species